GUAAAUUUGAAAUAUUUGGUUCUAAUUUGAAAUAUGCCGUUUUGAUCACUUGAUCACAAAUCGAAUGUAAUCCAAUGAGUAGUUCUCUAUAAUCUCGCAAUUUUUUUCGCAACUUAUAAGUCUUCAUUUUUGAUUUGGAUAAAACUUGGAUCCAGUGAUGGAAUAAUCGCAAAACAAUCACUUUCGCUUGCGAACUUUUUUCACCCGCGAAAGAAAGAGGUGGCAAAUCACGCAAAAGAAAAUCGCUCCCGAAUUGAAUGAAUUUCCUUGUCAGCACCACUUAAAAUUAUUUUUUUCGCUUUGUUUACACACAUUGCCCACCUACAAAAUGUGACAGGUCAAUUUCCGACGUGUAACGUUACACUUGCAAGUGUAGUAGUGAAAAAGAUAUUCCGCUGAAUAAUCAAGAUGAUGACUUUUUUAGCGAUCUUUCGUGCGCGAGAGAGGAGAGCAUGCUCCCUUCGGAUUUUUUCUCUUGAUGAACAUCCAAUGAUUUUCUUUUGAUGAUGAUUAUUCCAUCGCUGCUUGGAUCAUGCUUUUCCUAUUUCAAAAGAGGGAUUUCUGCAUCAUUCGUUUUUCCAUGCAAUUCUCCAUACAAUUUUUGGGCCUAGUAAUACAAAAUCGAUGUGAUGAGAAGGGAUUUUGUGAUCGAUUUGGUGUCUUCGGCAAUGUUGUAGGAUAUAAAGGAUUAGGAUUAGAAUAUUUCAGAUAUUUUGUAAUUUGGUCUAACCAAUAAAUUUUUCAGAAAAUUUUACACAAAUUUCAUUUCUUUACACUGAAAUCGAACAAAUAGUUUCUGAGAUAUUUUUAGUUGAAAAUUACAAGCUGAUUAAGUAAUACUUAAAAUAAAUCAUUUUCAUCGAUUCGAAUUCUUUGUGUGGCUGUAUCUCAAAAACGAACUACCCGAUUUUUUAAAUUUUAGAGGCAACAUUGUAGGAAAAUUCCUCAGCUCUUUAAAAAUAUAUUUUGCUUUAAAAAUAUUUUUUUAAAGGUUUUUGAUUUUUCAAAAAAAAAACUCUUUAAAAAAAUCAUAUCUCCUAAUCCAUAUUUUGCCCCAUUACGUACUAUGGCUCAAAAUAUGUCUUUUUUAGCUCACUAAAACAUAUCAACAAAUUUCGAAAAAAAUGUGCAAUGGGAAGAAAAAGUUAAAUAAAAAGAUCGGAAAGUAUUUCUUUAUCGGUUUGGCUAUUUUUUCCACAAUAUUCAAAUAACCUACAACUUUGCCGAAGACACCAAAACGAUCAGAAAAUACCCUCUCUAGAUAUAGAAUUUAAUAGAUUUACAUACCUAUUUUGUAUUACCUGUCCCCAUAAUUGUAUGGAAACUAGUUAUGCAAAAUGGUAUGCAAAUUCUAGUUAUGCAAAAUAACUACUUUUGACAUACAAAUGAAAAAAUACAAAGAAAAGUCAAUUUGCACUAAAAUAUUAUGUUAUUGUAUCAAAUCUUAUUGAAGUGUUGCAAAAAAGAAAUGAAGUUCAAAAUAUCAUUUACAUUCUCGAUAUUUCAAAAGAGUCAAAACAUAGAAAAAAUAUGCAGGUUUCUAGCAAUUUUUACAUAAACUCUAACAUAAAACUUGCACAAAAAGCAUUCCAAUUAUGAAAAGAGUGUUAAAUUAAACUAAUUCAAGAGUUCUUACAUGCUGUCGUAUGAAACCUCUACUAAAAUUAAAGGUACAAGAUUUCAAGUUCAAACAUUUCAAACAAUUUUUAUUUACACAUUACAAAAACCACAAUAAUAUCAAAAGCAAGCCAAUCCGCCCACAGCCAACAACGAAACAAAAAUCGAGCCAGUUAACAAACCCAUCAUCUUCCACAAACAUACAUUGUAGCUAAUUUAUUCGCAUAGAUUUUACUACCUAGGACACGUUGAUUAGCGUAAAUGUUAGAAAUACUGUUACACUGUACAUAAGAGUUUAGCGAGAAAAAAAAAAUCCCAGAAACAAGUGCAAUUAUAAAACAAUGACAACAAACCCGAACAAAUCCCAAACUAGCACGUAAGCGAAGGCGCAGAGGCAACCACCACCAAGUGAUAUCAACCGCGAGUUCAUUUUUAAAAGAAAAGUGAGCGCGAGUUGAAACGAAGCGAGAUUUUGUUUCCCUUUAAAAAAAAACUGUUGAAUAGUUAGCCAGAUUUUUAGCCAAGUUUCGUUGUUUUAAGUGUUUUAGUGUAGGUUUUAGUUUAGUUUAGAAGGAAAAGUGAGCCAGUUUAGUGUGUAAAUUUUGUGUUUUAAGUGUUUAGUUUUGUUAAGAUGUACAAUGGAACCUGAGUACGCCAGUAAUAGUGUCAAAUGAGGGAGGUAAAAAGAUGGAAAAAGCGCCAGUAUUUUGUUAAGGUUGUUUUAGAAACAUUUUAAAAGUAAACGGAAUUACAGCCAGCCAGUGUUAUUGUUGAAGGAAGUUUUUUUUUGCUAGAAGAAUUUUAUAGAAGUAAAAUGUUUGCCGUUUUUAUAAGACAACACUUUUUGAAGUUAUUUCGCUGCAAAGGAGAGAAUAAAAAUUUUACAGUUGAAAAAAGAAAAGUCGAGUUGUUUGUUUUUUUUUGUGUGUUUUAUUACCUUUUUAUUUUACUUUUGUCCAAAGCAUUUUUAUAAUAGAAUGUGUAGUUUUAAUAGCAUGUUUGUUUUUUUCUGUUUCCAUCUUGUAUAUAUACUAUUCUUUUUUGUUGUUGUUCUUUUUUUUCUUUUGUUUUUUGUUUGUUUUAUUUUAGUGUACCUUUAUGUUCAAUAAAUAAUGGUAUAAUAGUUUCUUUUUCAUCCUUUUCCAUCCCUUUUUUUUCUUGCUUUAUAUAUAAUGCUUUUCAGCUGCACGCCAAUGUUUUUUUAGUAGCUUUCCGGCGAAUGUGUCAAAACAGCCCUGCGUUCCAAUGGUUGUUGUUAAAUGGGGUUUACUAUUCCCGCUUUCAAUUUUCUCAUAACUCAUAGCAGCUUGCACGCCUUAAAUUGUUUGUAAGGAUUAUAUGCUUCAAUUAUAUCUUGCAAAUAUAGAUUUUUUUUUUUGUUUUGUUUUCAUGUCAGCUUGUUUCCUUAAAUACCACUUUUUAGAUGUCUUUCCGUUUUUUGGUUUUGCUUCUUUCUCGAGAAAAUUUAAAUAUGCAUUUUGUUCCAUUUAUAAAUACUUUUACACUUUUUUUUGCGGGGGGUUUCACCACUUUUCUUCUUUCUUAUUUUGGGGAGAGUGUGACAAUAAUUAGCUUACGCACAUUUUUUUCUUCUGUUUGAAUUGUUGUUUCCAACUGUGAGUUGUAGUAUUAUGCAGCCGGUAGAGAGUGAGGAACAAAUAUGUUUGGGGACAACAAAGUUAGGCGUUUCUUUUCAAACGUUCUCGCCAACAUAAGGAUCAGUGUGAAAGGGGGUUCUUUUUCGCAUUUUUUUUUUUGCUGGUGAAAAUUUCACUAUUGCUAUACACCUAGAGAAUGAGUUAUGUUUUGUUACACUUUUGUUUUUUAUUCGGUAAUUAUAAUAGUUUAGAGAGCAGUUGUGUGUGUGUUUUUUAGAAGAAACUUUCAAUAAAAAAUGGAAUGUAAUUCUGACCGCGAUGCCCUUCCUAGAAAAACGAAACACGUGAAAGGCUUUCACUCUUCUGCGAAAAGAGUGCAGUUUGCUUUUCACUUUGCAACGUUUUCAAAGCUGGAAGAUGCCACUCCAGAAUCUUAGCAUAAAGAAAGUGACAUUAAAUGCGUCACUUUAUGCAAGAUUCACCAACUUUAACCCUUUUCAUUCCAACAAAAUUUACAGAAAAUUAAUUUUUUAACAAUAAUUUGAGUUAAAAUCACAUUCACAAGACUCUUUUUUGUGUGUUAUUGUGUGUGUUUUCUAUUUGCCUCUACUCGAGUUUACUGCCUAUCCGUGUUCCAUUUAUUAGCCCUCAGCACUUGCUUUUUUGUUUAAACUAAUCUUUGGUACGUUUGCUUCUACUUAAACAAACUUAAAAGUAAAAAAAUCUCGAACCUAAAAUUAAAACUUGAACGAAAUCGAAUCACCUCUUCUUUCCAAUUGGAAGCAAUUUUUACUUCAAUCGUGUGCGGAUCUGCUUUACCGACGCGAAGCGAUCACGUUCGCGCGCUCGAACGCUUGCUUUGCGCAGCGCAAACGGUUCAGAGAGAGCCAACUUGGUUGAUUGGGGGCAUUCAAAGGCUACGUAACGCAAUUUAAGAUGUAAAUGUAGAAAUUUGUUUAAAAUUGCUGUGUGGCUGAUGGAAAAUUUAGAUUUAAAAAAUUAGCGUUUGAUUCAUCGUUACGUAAUGCUCAACCGACCCACAAAGACUGUUGUAGGGUUCCAUUGCAUCGCUAGAACUCAAACUGAAGCUUGUUUUGCGACACGUUGAAGUGCGAAGCAUCUUUUCACUUUGGAUAUUGCGCAUUUUGCACUUCUCUAGAGUCCUGCGCAAUUAUUUUCAUCACAGUAUCUUUUGAUCACAGUGAUUUUUCAUCACACUUCCAACCGUAACCAUGGAAAAGUUGUUUUUGUUUGUAGCUGAUUUGUUUUUCAAAGUCAGAAAAGUUUUAUUCCAUUCAGAUAUUUUGGACGGAUAUUCUAGAUAAAAGGGACCUGUUUCAUCGUUUCGUGAAGUCCUAUUUAAGGGUGAUGACACAAAUUUCACCAAACACUGCUCAGAUUACACAGUUCCAUUGAAAAAUGAAACUGGAUUUUCCCCAUGUGUGUUAAGAUCGAGCACCUCUGCUAAACAUUAUGCUACGGUUAAUGCGAGAAUGUUCACAGUUCUUAGCAGAUUUGUGUAGUUUAUUGUAUAAAUAAUAAAACAAUGUCCCUCCAGUUUAGAAUUUAUUGACCGUUGGGAUUAUGCACGUCGUCAUGAUGAAGAAAUUUGUCCAAAUUUUAGUUGAAGAGAUCUAGGUGUAAGAAGACAAUUACGACUACUUGUUCCGGCUAUGGAAUUCUGGUCUUCGGUGCCGGGAAGUAGCUAUGUUCGUGCCGGCAUCUUGGCUUACGGCGGUUCCUCGUCAGCUUGCCGGACGGAUGAUGAAAAACGGAUGAGAUGGACUGAUGCUCGGAAUUUCGUCGUUGAAGAGGGCGAUUGGUUACCCCUUUCGUUACCCUGCAGCUUUUCCAAUCUUCCAAUGCCAUUUAGGGCUGUAAACUUUUGUAAUAAUGUAAUAAUGAUAAAUAUACAGAUUUCUUUCGUCCACAAUUUAUGGUUUUUUUCCACAAUAUUGUUGAAUUUAUAGCCAAUUCCACGUAAAUUUAAUAAACCAUCACCCAAAAUUCGGCAGCAAUCGUCCGAGAAAAUCAUGGCCUCCAGUCGUGAGAAUAAUGGUACCGUUUACGGACUCAUCGAACACAGCUCGAAGUGGCCGAUAGAAUUAUGCCCUCGAGCUCAUUAGAAAAAAAAUAACCCGUCAAAAAAACUCAAAAGUUCCAACUACGAGAAUCGAACCAGGAACCUUUAACCGACCAUUUCAAUGACUUAACUGCCUCGGCUACCACAGCUUGGUGAAUAGAUUGUGGUCAGAAGUCGAUGCAUUACAGUUGUUUUGUGUUGAUGGUGUGAUGGAAAAUCAAUUUGCCAACUGUGAUGAAAAUUAUUCCGCAGCACUCUAGCGCGGUGCAAAGUGCGCAAAGUUGACAGUUCUCAGUCCUGCAAAGCAGUGUGAUGAAAAAAUCUAGGCCUAGCACGAUUGACACAAAACUCUAGGAAUUGCUGCAAGGCGCAAUAAAACUUUUGAUUAUCUUAAAAAAGCACACUAUGACAAAAUUGAUUGUCCUUUAAAGCUAGCUAGAGAUUUAAUUUUAGGCAGAGAUCAACAACAAUUGAAGUAAAAACAGCUUGCAAUUACUUAUUUUUUCUCCUAUUUACAAUGGUCAGUAUCUUCUAAACAACUUAAACAAUAGAGAAACAACAAAAGCCAAAAUUCUUGCUUCCUUAGCCUCUUAACGAAAGAUAUUUCCAUAUCAAUUCGCGACCUGAUCGCACCGUUCAAAAUAAUAACCGUAGCGUUCAAUAUUUACAAAUUUUGAAGAUUCUCACCCCACUUUUCCGGGAGAUUCCAACAUUCCGAUUCAACGCGUCCUUGAUGCCGCUAGCAAAAAGCGAUUGUGAAGCAAUAGUGUAUUCCUUAUUCUCCUCUCCUCUAAAUCGUUUUUAAACUUUGAAGCGUGUGUGUGUGUGGUUUUGCGGUUGUUAAACGUGAUACAAUUGCCUAUUGCGCCCUUAGAGCGACUCCUUGGGAAUCCACGGCGGCGCCUUAAAAUA